UUCAUUGUUGAACUAGAAGAUGCAUUAUAUUAUAACCCAGCAGAGACUUAAAAAGUCGACAUUCAUUUUGGCCCAGCGGUUGCUGUAAACACAGUACAGCAAGAGCAAGAGCUGGGGCCUGGCGGGAACAUAAUAGUUUGCGUAUUUUCCACCUACAUUAUCAAGCUACUGUGACAGCAAGUCAAAGAUUUUCAAAGCCAUCCCAGCCAUUGUCCUGUCUCCCAACAAGUGCCAAGAGGCACUGAUUCAAUACUUCGCUGCCACAGCCUAUAGGUGAAUGUUCUUGGUGAGAUUGGAGGGACUGAUGACUAUGUGAAGCAAGUAAGGAAGUUCAUAAUAAGUGACACACUGGCCACAAAACUGAACAUGUCUUGAAGGAACAACAAGAAGGCAUUUGGUCCCACAAACUUACUCGAGACUGUUUAGGGAGAAGUGAAAAAGAAUUCACAAACGUCAGAUUGCACGAGAAGAUGUGGAGCAUGCAGUGGCGAAGUGGUUGAUGGUGGUAAGAGAUCGCAGUGGCAAUUGCAUGUGAAGGGAUACUGGUGCAACAUUGUCUGCUAAUUAGAAUACCUAUACGUGUAAAUCUUAUGGAAAAGGAAGUUUAAUAUAUAGGUUCCUUAGUUUUGUUUACAUGUAGUAAUUAGAAUUAAGGCUUUGUUAGAGAUGAUUCUAAUCAGAAUAUAGGUAGAGAUGUAUUUCUGCCAAAGGAAUUCUGUAUUCUGUAUUACUUUAUCUAUCUAUCUAUAGCUCUGACGCCUCGUUCCCUCCGGGAACAUCCCCCUACGGCAGUGUUUCCCAACUUUUUUUUUUUUCAGGCGACCCCAAUCAUGCACCUCUAGACAUGACUGCGACCCCACUAGUUUAGUUGUAUAUGUGUUAUAAUAUAAUAAUACCAUGUUUGAUAUUUUGAGGUCUUGGGGACCCCAGGAAAAAUGCUUAGCGACCCCAGGGUUGGGAAAGGGGGCUCUAGGGGGUGGCCACGGCAGAAAAGCCGUAGUACUAUUAUUACUACUAUUGUUACUAUUAUUCUGUAUUACUUGUGUUUACAUAUUAUUGAUUAGUAGAUUUUGUUUCACAAUAUUCACGGUAUAUAUGAGAAGCUUAUA